UCUAACUGCCAUAGGGAUAAGAAGCCCAGAAACUUCUCCGGAAACAGAGAAAGGAAGUAUCUACUGUAAGGUGAAAAUAAGAAGCCUCUGGAAUGAUAAGAACUGAGUUUGGAGAUUACCAGACACAAUUGCCUCAUGAUUUUGGAUCCUUACGAUAAGUGAAUGAAGAGUUCUACUGCUCCACAUCCUUGCCAGCAAUGUCCAGAUUUCAACCAUUUUAACAGAGGAACAGAGUGAAGCAACCUUUGAGAAGUUUCAUUAAAAGUCAGCGCCAGGCCAUGUGUUCCUAGUGGUCGUGGGAUGGCUAUCUGGAUCCACCUAACAAAAGUCUGAUGGGAAGUGAAGAGAGUUCUUCAUGUUAUCAUCAUCAGCGCUGGAAGUGGGCUUCAGACAUUCUCCUCCACUGUGUGAGAAUGAAGAGCAUCUGUGCAACAAAUGCUAGCGUGGGCUACGCAAGCAAAAAUAGGAUUUCCACUUUGAAAUUUCCUUCCCAGAUAUGUUUGGGGAUGACCAAAGAAAAGGAAGGGGGAAAAUGGACCAAGUCCAUAUGGCUUCCUAACUCAGUAUUUACAGUCUCCCACCAUGAAAAGGUGCGAAGAACAGCAUUAGAAUAGGCAGGUUGAAGUCAUGCUUUCACUAAGAGAUCACAGGACUAUGCACUUGGUUUAAAAUACCGGUACUCUUAGAUCAGAAAGUAAUUUGAAAAAGACAAAUUGGGCCCCUAAAUGUUUUCUGACACAGUAGUUGAGGUUGUCAUUGAAGAAAAAAAGCCCUCACUUGUUGACUCUAUUCAGAUAAUUAGGACAUAGAAUUUUUUUUUCGGUUAUCACAAUCUCUAACUUCCCUAGUCAUACCAAAUAAAUGUAAACUAAAUGAAUGAAAAUGUAGC